GUAGGGAGGGAUUAGAUCGUGAGGACUCCAACUUCAUGAAUAGAUUAGUGCCCUUAUAAAAGGGCCCAAAGGAACCAGCUAGCCCUUUUAUGCCUUUCCAUCUGUUUCACUGUGAGUACACAGUGUUCAUUUCCUCAAGAGGACACAACAAGGCACCAUCUUGGAAGCAGAGAGCGAGCCAUCACUGGACACCAAACCUGCAGGUGCCUUGAUCUUGGACUUCCCAGCCUCUAUAACUCAAAUAUACACUGGAAUUAGGAGUCUCGCACUUUACUGGCCCCUGCAGCUGCAGAGAUGACUGGUCACAUUCUCAUGGAUGAAGGUAACGGCAGAGUAGCGAGGGGCUGUGAACCCCCACUGGAGCUGACUGCCCGCCUAGAUCCUGACUCUGCCACUCUCAAGUCCCAUGAUGUGUCUCCAUGACUUCCUUUCCACAGGGAAAUGGACAAGCUGAUUCUAAAAUUCAUAUGGAACUGCAAGGGACACAGAAGAACCAAAGCAGUCUUGGACAAGAACAAUGUUAGAAGACUCACUUCUCCAUUUCAAAACUUACUAGAAAACUAUAGUAAUCAGCCAGGUGCGGUGGCUCACGCCUGUAAUCCCAGCACUUUGGGAGGCCAAGGUGGGCAGAUCACUUGAGGUCAGGAGUUUGAGACCAGCCUGGCCAACAUGGUGAAACCCCAUCUCAACUAAAAAGACAAAAAAAUUAGCUGGACAUGGUGGUGGGCACCUAUAAUCCCAGCUACUCAGGAGGCUGAGGCAGAAGAAUGGCGUGAACCCGGGAGGCAGAGGUUGCAGUGAGCCAAGAUCACACCAUUGCACUCCAGCCUGGGCAACAGAGCGAGACUCUGUCUCAAAAAAAAAAAAAAAAAAAAAAAAAAGUUCAUAACAGCACUAUAUUUACAACAGCCCAAAAAUGGAAACAACACAAAUGACCACCAACAGAUAAAUGGAUAAACAGAAUAAAGGAAUAUUAUUUAGCACCACAGAUAAUGAGGUGUUGAAUGAGGCUACAGCGCAGAUGAACCUGGAAACACUGUGCUAAGAGAAAGACACCUGACACAAAAGCCCACAUACUGUGUGAUUCCAGUUCUAUGAAAUGUCCAGAACAGGCAAAUCUACAGAGAGAAAGAUGCCAGACACAAAAGCCCACAUGCUGUGUGAUUCCAGUUCUAUGAAAUGUCCAGAACAGGCAAAUCUACGGAGAGAAAGAUGCCAGACACAAAAGCCCACAUGCUGUGUGAUUCCAGUUUUAUGAAAUGUCCAGAACAGGCAAAUCUACGGAGAGAAAGAUGCCAGACACAAAAGCCCACAUGCUGUGUGAUUCCAGUUCUAUGAAAUGUCCAGAACAGGCAAAUCUACGGAGAGAAAGAUGCCAGACACAAAAGCCCACAUGCUGUGUGAUUCCAGUUCUAUGAAAUGUCCAGAACAGGCAAAUCUACGGAGAGAAAGAUGCCAGACACAAAAGCCCACAUGCUGUGUGAUUCCAGUUCUAUGAAAUGUCCAGAACAGGCAAAUCUACGGAGAGAAAGAUGCCAGACACAAAAGCCCACAUGCUGUGUGAUUCCAGUUUUAUGAAAUGUCCAGAAUAGGCAAAUCUACGGAGAGAAAGAUGCCAGACACAAAAGCCCACAUGCUGUGUGAUUCCAGUUCUAUGAAAUGUCCAGAAUAGGCAAA